UGGACAGAGGAGUCUGAAGGGCUGCAGUCCAUGGGGUCACAAAGAGCCAGACAUGGCUUAUGACGAAACAACAGCAGGUCAAGAGGAGGCUUAUCUUCUAAAGGCUCAGAUCUCCAAAUACUGACUCCAAGGGAAAAUUAGCAUGCUUGCUAUGGUCCGGAUGAUGCAGUCCAGGAGGAGCUGGAGUGGUGUAAUUCAGGAAGACCAUGACCACCGUGUCAGCAGCACUGAUUUUAGCCACUGAAAACACUACCUCACCUUCUGAUGGCAGAAUUUCUAGAAAGCCCAU